CCAAUCAAUAUUAAAAUCUCCAAAGACCAACAGUUCACUUUUAGGGUUUUGAGCUAUGGUUUCACUAAGGAGAUGGGCUAUGUCAGAAAGGGAAUGCACAGGAGAGCUAGGUGGGCGGUAGAUUCCUCCAGCAAUGAUUGAUUUACUGCACAGGAUCUCAAUUGUGCCAGAAAGGAAAUCAAAGGUGGCAGGAGGACUAAGGUUUUCUAAAGGGGUAAACUUUAUGGAAUAGUCAACAUAAAUAACAAUGCCUCCUCCUCUCUUUGCUCUCUCAUUUCUAAAACAUGAAUACCCCUGUAUUGCAAUGGCAGUGUCUGGUAUUUUAGUUGUUAACCGUGAUUCUGAGUGCACAAUGAUUUUUGGUUUGUAAUGGGAACACCAGGCUUACAGUGCAUCCAGUUUAGGGAGUAAACUACGGAUGUUGCAGUGCACAAAAGAGAGGCCUUUUUUAGUGAGGAGAUUAGGGCUAGAAUUAGCUGGGGGACCAGGGUUAGACGCCACAUCAUUUGCAAGGGCAAGUAACAUAAGGAAUAGGAAUUUGGACAUCAUUUUUGUUUGGCCAUAUAGUGAAUGGGAUACUUUAUAAUUUUGUGAGGUGGGG